rnacentral:rRNA from 1 species
UACGAAGGGGGCUAGCGUUGUUCGGAAUCACUGGGCGUAAAGGGCGCGUAGGCGGCUUUAUAAGUCGGGGGUGAAAGCCUGUGGCUCAACCACAGAAUUGCCUUCGAUACUGUAGAGCUUGAGACCGGAAGAGGUAAGUGGAACUGCGAGUGUAGAGGUGGAAUUCGUAGAUAUUCGCAAGAACACCAGUGGCGAAGGCGGCUUACUGGUCCGGUUCUGACGCUGAGGCGCGAAAGCGUGGGGAGCAAACAGG